rnacentral:rRNA from 1 species
AGGGAAACCGAGUCUUAACCGGGCGUUAAGUUGCAGGGUAUAGACCCGAAACCCGGUGAUCUAGCCAUGGGCAGGUUGAAGGUUGGGUAACACUAACUGGAGGACCGAACCGACUAAUGUUGAAAAAUUAGCGGAUGACCUGUGGCUGGGGGUGAAAGGCCAAUCAAACCGGGAGAUAGCUGGUUCUCCCCGAAAGCUAUUUAGGUAGCGCCUCGUGAACUCAUCUCCGGGGGUAGAGCACUGUUUCGGCUAGGGGGCCAUCCCGGCUUACCAACCCGAUGCAAACUGCGAAUACCGGAGAAUGUUAUCACGGGAGACACACGGCGGGUGCUAACGUCCGUCGUGAAGAGGGAAACAACCCAGACCGCCAGCUAAGGUCCCAAAGUCAUGGUUAAGUGGGAAACGAUGUGGGAAGGCCCAGACAGCCAGGAUGUUGGCUUAGAAGCAGCCAUCAUUUAAAGAAAGCGUAAUAGCUCACUGGUCGAGUCGGCCUGCGCGGAAGAUGUAACGGGGCUAAACCAUGCACCGAAGCUGCGGCAGCGACACUAUGUGUUGUUGGGUAGGGGAGCGUUCUGUAAGCCUGUGAAGGUGUGUCGUGAGGCAUGCUGGAGGUAUCAGAAGUGCGAAUGCUGACAUAAGUAACGAUAAAGCGGGUGAAAAGCCCGCUCGCCGGAAGACCAAGGGUUCCUGUCCAACGUUAAUCGGGGCAGGGUGAGUCGACCCCUAAGGCGAGGCCGAAAGGCGUAGUCGAUGGGAAACAGGUUAAUAUUCCUGUACUUGGUGUUACUGCGAAGGGGGGACGGAGAAGGCUAUGUUGGCCGGGCGACGGUUGUCCCGGUUUAAGCGUGUAGGUGUGUGUUCCAGGUAAAUCCGGUUCACUUUAACACUGAGGCGUGAUGACGAGGCACUACGGUGCUGAAGCAACAAAUGCCCUGCUUCCAGGAAAAGCCUCUAAGCAUCAGGUAACAUCAAAUCGUACCCCAAACCGACACAGGUGGUCAGGUAGAGAAUACCAAGGCGCUUGAGAGAACUCGGGUGAAGGAACUAGGCAAAAUGGUGCCGUAACUUCGGGAGAAGGCACGCUGAUAUGUAGGUGAAGU